GCCAGUCACUGAUUGGUUGGGUAAAGCACGUGCCUGGCGAAUGAGACCCGUAUAAUGAUGAGUUGAUGUGACCAGCCAAUGUAGGAAGAAGUUUCAUCAGCUUCACUGUCCAAUCGUACCCAAGCUGAAGUUCAUGAGAUAUAAAAUUCACUCUUGGACAAUUUACGGAAUUUAUAAACAUACUUUGACGGAAUAGGCUUUCAAAUAAAUGGCAAUGCAUUUGGCCUCAGGGUAUAACAACUGGCUGAAGCCCAAACUCAUUUUAGAACCUGUGUUUACUGGACACAAACUUAAACCUCUCACUGACACAAAAUCACCUCUGACAGUAGCCCUGUGGACCAGUUUCCCUCUGCACCGUGGGCCAGUGACCAUCUUCAUCCUCCUCUGAGUGGGUGAUCACAUCCUCUGCCUCCAUCUCUUGGUCACUGGGCUGUCCUUCUAUGUACUCCUGGAUGGUGGGCAGUGCCCCCUGCAGGCUGCAGCGCCGACGUAGCCCCACCAGGAGAGGCUGGGGCAUGGAGCAGAUGUCUGCGUUGUUCCCCAGGUCAAUCCAGGACAGUGCCGGAUACUUGUUUGGCUCCUUCAUCAUCUCAGUCAUUUCAUUGACAACGAGCCGGGUCAGUCUGUUCCCAUUCAGCGCCAGGUUGGUUAGUUUCGGAAGUGCUGCCAGCAAGGGCAACAGAAGCUGCAGGCCAUCAUCUGCCAACUCAGUGAAGCUCAAAUCGAUGGACGUCAGAUGGUCUCUGUUCAGCUGCAAGUAGUAUGCCACACGGUGAAUGUCCCUGGAAGAAAGUGGCAUUCCUGAUAGAUCCAGGGAGUCAUUGGUACCGAGACCAAACCAUAGCUUGGCGUAUCCAGGAGGAGCUGAGUGCUUGAAGCGCUGACGUUACUGCCUCCAGCCUCCUGCUGCUACGGCUGCCACUUCUGACUCUAAAACUACUGGUGCCGCCACUGGGUCCUGGAGCGUGCUCUGCCUUGGAAGAUGUACAUUCAACAACAAGAGCUGGAAGUGCUCAAGUUCCAAGAUAACCUGCUCUCUGGUUGGCUCCAAUGAUAUAUUACUCUAGGAAACCCAGGAGCCUGAGCAAAACUGGAAUCAAUGGGUACCGGGGGCAAAUGAGCCUCCAGUUGGAGUCAUGGCACAUAGGAAGACAGCCAUGUUUGUUGGAGGUCAGUCAUCUCAGCCUCAGGACAUCACUGCAGGAGUUCCUCAGCCCAGAGUCCCUGCUAGCUUCAGAAAUCAGAAGAUCCAAGAUUCCUACUCAAUGGGCCAUUGUUUGACCAUGCACUGGAGACCCCCUGCCCAUUUCGGAAAUAUGUGUUAACAAGCAAGGGAGGGAAUGGAACCUAGCAACAAGAGAUUGGGUCACAGGCACUGUGAGACUGCAGGACCAGCACUGUGAGACUGGCAUUGAGGAAUCUGAGAGACUGGCACUGUCAGAAAUUGGUGACAAUGGCACUGUGGGAGUGAGAGACAUUGUUACUGUGGAGACUACCCACACUGGUGCCAGGGAAUGGGAGACAUUGGCACUGUGGGAAAUGGACACUGGCACUAUGGGCACAGAAUAUUCAUUGAUACCUUGGGAGCCACAUACACUGACGCUGGUGGAGUGUAAGACAUUGUCACCGUGGGAACGGUACACCAAUACUUUGGGAGCAAGAGAAACCAGUUCUAUGGCAGUGGGCCUAUGAAACUAUGGAUGUGGAAAGCAGGGACACUGGCUUUGUGGGAAUGAGCAUUGACAUCAUCAUUCUGUCAACACAAAAUUAUUCCUUUUUUAACAUGAUAUUUGUGACAUCUGUUUUGAGAUUCACUCCCACUGUGGUUUCCAGCCUGUGUGUUGCUGGUACAGUGUGAUAAACUAUAAUUGUGCCAGUAUUUCUAGGCUUAGAUAUGUGUGUGAUUACACCAUCGGUCAUUAUGGCUUUAUGCUUGCAACCUACACCUGAGGCAACAGGAUACAGUUUCAUGGAAAAAUGGUCAUUACUGAUUUGGCCCAGAUUUCGCUUUUCAUUACUGUUUGCGUAAACAACUGUCACUUCUUACUUUCUUCAUAAACCUCACUGAAUCACAUGCGUCACUAAUUAAAAUACAAAUUACCAAGCACUACCCAGCAGUGACUGUCCAUUCUUAUUCAUUCAAACUUUCCCCUGAUCUGAAUCCUGCAGCACAAGUAAUUAUUGCACUGCUACAGUUUUAUCAAUUUCUCUUGUAUUUCUCACCACUUCAGUCAGACCAUGUUCAAGAGAACUUCUUUUCUCAGCUAAACAGGUGCAACUUUCUCAACAUUUGCCAUUUAGGGUGGCAGAGUGGUUAGCACUGCUGCCUCACAGCUCCAGGGACCCGAUUUGAUUCCAGCCUCGGGUGAUUGUCGGUGUGGAGUCUGCACAUUCUCCCCGUGUCAGCGUGGGUUUCCUCCCGCAGUCCAAAGAUGUGCAAAGGUUAGGGUGAAUUAGCAAUGUUAAAUUGCCCCAUAGUGUCCAGGGAUGUGCAGGCUAUGUGGAUUAACCAUGGGGAGGCAGGGUUACAGGGAUGGGAUAGGCCUGGGUGGAAUAUUCUUUGGGCAAUUGAUGCAGACCCAAAGGACUGAAUGGCCUCUUUCCAUACUGUGCGGAUUUUAUGAAUCUGUAAUGUUUGUCGUGUUAUGUCUCAUGGUCGGUGUGCUUUUAAAGACAUGCUCAUAAUAUCAUCACUGCAUCAUAGCAUGCGACCUGAGGGGUAGAAAGGUCUGAGACUCCAUCUUAAUCUGGAUCACUUAGAGCAUGACACUCCAUUGAAAACCUGCUGCUCUCUGUUGUAAUUUAACAGAUCAACAUUUGCCAGCUGCUUGUUUGCAUGAGGAAAGCAAUGCGUACAUAACAAUUAGUGCUACAAAUGUAUAUAGGAUUCUUCAAUACCACAAUAUUCCCACCCGGAUUCUAUAGCUAUGGGAGAUAAUAUAAACACUGAUGCAAUGGAUUCACAUCAACUUCACUUCCUCAUCUUGGAUUGGACUGAUCUCUUGCUUUUCAAGGGCAAUAAUAUUUUAAUACUGUUUAAAACCUUGCUUUCUUAAUUUUAACCCUUUUGAAUUUAAUGAGGAACGUUUCCAGUGAAGGGAAGCUCAGCAGCUGUGAGGCAGAGAGAGAGAGAAUUAUCAUCAUCAAAUAUCUUGAACACAAGCAUCAUUUAGUAACCCAGACAGGGUGGGUACUUACCAGGCUUGUGACUUCUGCCUGGGCACAGUCUGCCUGUGCCACUUAGAGUGUGGGGUCAGAUGGUAGAUGAGCUGUCGACAAAGCUUCUCAGAGGAUUUCAGGGGUUCCAGUUCCUCGAACAAAAGUAAGUCAUAGAGUCAGAUAGCACGGAAUCAGACCCUUAAGUUCAACUCGACCAGGCUGACCAAGUUUCCCAACUAAACUAGUCUCAUUUACCUGCAUUUAGCCCAUAUCCCUGUAAACCUUUCCUAUCCAUGUACCUAGGAUGAA